rnacentral:rRNA from 1 species
GACGAACGCUGGCGGCGUGCUUAACACAUGCAAGUCGUACGGUAAGGCCCUUUCGGGGGUCCACGAGUGGCGAACGGGUGAGUAACACGUGAGUAACCUGCCCACAACUUUGGGAUAACGCUAGGAAACUGGUGCUAAUACUGGAUAUGUGCUCCUGCUGCAUGGUGGGGGUUGGAAAGCUCCGGCGGUUGUGGAUGGACUCGCGGCCUAUCAGCUUGUUGGUGGGGUAGUGGCCUACCAAGGCGGCGACGGGUAGCCGGCCUGAGAGGGUGACCGGCCACAGUGGGACUGAGAUACGGCCCAGACGCCUACGGGAGGCAGCAGUGGGGAAUAUUGCACAAUGGGCGCAAGCCUGAUGCAGCAACGCCGCGUGCGGGAUGACGGCCUUCGGGUUGUAAACCGCUUUCAGCAGGGACGAAGCUUUUUGUGACGGUACCUGCAGAAGAAGCACCGGCUAACUACGUG